rnacentral:rRNA from 2 species
AAACGAUUAAAGUCAGUCGUACCGAUGAGCAUUCAGCCUUUUGGGUGUGAUUAUGUGGUACAUGAAAAGAUUUCGUGAAUUGCAUAUUUGUUCCUUUUGGGUGUACUUGUUCGUAUGGUAGGUUAACAUCAAUUUCAGUUGUCAUAAAAUGGCGGGAGGAAUGUGGCUUCUCCGGAAGUGUUAUAGCCUCUGGUAGAUGUGAUGACAGAGAUUGAGGAUUGCAACGAAUACCCUCAGGGCUACCUGCCUGGCCUCUGGUCGUCGCUUUGGUGCCGAAAGCGUGCUUAUGGUAUUAAAGUAGGUGGUCAAAAGGUUAGAACGGGUUAAAUUCGUUAAGGAUGUUGACUUAAUGACUUUAAACGA